rnacentral:rRNA from 1 species
GACGAACGCUGGCGGCGUGGAUUAGGCAUGCAAGUCGAACGGUAUCAUCCUUUCGGGGGUGAGAGAGUGGCGAACUGGUGAGUAACACGUAGGUUAUCUACCCUCAAGACGGGGACAACCCAGGGAAACUUGGGCUAAUACCGGAUGUGAGCAACUUUUAGUUGUUUGAAAGGUGGCGUAAGCUGUCGCUUGGGGAUGAGCCUGCGUCCUAUUAGUUAGUUGGUGAGGUAACGGCUCACCUAGGCAAUGAUAGGUAGGCGGCCUUAACGGGUGGUCGCCCACACUGGGAUUGAGAUACGGCCCAGACUCCUACGGGAGGCAGCAGUCGAGAAUAGUCUACAAUGGUCGGAAGACUGAUAGUGCGACGCCGCGUGAACGAUGAAUCCCUUCGGGGUGUAAAGUUCUUUUAUAUGUGAGCAGUGCUUCUUAUAUUAACAGUAUGGGGAGAGAGAUAUUAGCAUAUGAAUAAGCAACGGCUAAACUCCGUGCCAGCAGCCGACGGUAAAAUACCG